GGGUGGUUAGCGCAGUGGUAGUGCGUAUGCUUUGCACGAUCACAUGAUCUAGGCUGUAUAAGGUCCAGGGUUCAAUCCCCUGACCAUCCA